UUUAUUAGUUGCAUUCAUGUAGUUGCACUCCAUGCUUGUGUUCUUGUGGUCAUCUAUAUUAUUAUUACAUGAGCUAGAUGGAUUUUGUGGGUACAUUCGCUAUAGGCCCUCACGAGACCUUACUCGUCCACUAGGGCUGCCUAGGGGUUUAAAGGGCUUGUUGCAUAUGCCAAAUGCAACCGUGAUCACCUACGAAAGUGGUAUAUAUCUAUUAGGUGUAAGUUUUAUUUAUU
rnacentral:lncRNA from 1 species